UUCGCAAUGCCCGAAAGGGUGACGAAGCGACGCCGCGUGUGGGAAGAAGGCCUUCGGGUUGUAAACCACUGUCGGGAGUUAAGAAAUGCAAGGAUAUUAAUAGUGUCUUUGUUUGACUAAGGCUCCGGAGGAAGCCACGGCUAACCCUGUGCCAGCAGCCGCGGUAAUACAGAGGCGGCAAGCGUUGUUCGGAAUUAUUGGGCGUAAAGAGCACGUAGGCGGCUAUGUAAGUCGGUUGUGAAAGCCUUCCGCUCAACGGAAGAACAGCAUCCGAUACUACAUGGCUUGAGUGCGAGAGGGGAGAGUGGAACUUCUGGUGGAGCGGUGAAAUGCGUAGAUAUCAGAAGGAACGCCGGCGGCGAAAGCGGCUCUCUGGCCCAUAACUGACGCUGAGUGUGCGAAAGCUAGGGGAGCAAACGGGAUUAGAUACCCCGGUAGUCCUAGCCGUAAACGAUGGGCACUAAGUAGAGGGGUUUU
rnacentral:rRNA from 1 species